rnacentral:rRNA from 1 species
AACGAACGCUGGCGGCAUGCCUAACACAUGCAAGUCGAACGAGACCGUCGGGUCUAGUGGCGCACGGGUGCGUAAGACCGGGUAACCUACCCUUAGGUUCCGAAUAACUCCCCGAAGGGGGUGUUCAGACCGCUUAAUGUCUUCGCGCCAAAGAUGUAUGGCGGUUGGAUGGGCGCGGGUUGGAUUAGCUAGUUGGUAGGGUAAAAGCCUACCAUGGGGACGAUCCAUAGCUGGUCGGGGAGGAGGACAAGCCACACUGGCAAUGCGGCACGGCCCAGAAUCCUACGGGAGGGAGCAGUGGGGAAUAUUGGACAAUGGGCGAAAGCCUGAUCCAGCAAUGCCGGGGGAGUGAUGAAGGCCUUAGUGUUGUAAAGCUCUUUUACCCGGGAUGAUAAUGACAGUACCGGGAGAAUAAGCUCCGGCUAACUCCGUG